CAAGCGAAAAAGUUUUUUCGAGCACUUCGGUUCAGUUUGGACUUGCCUUUGACCGCGUGCGGACGGCGAUGCCAGCGAGUUGUUGUUUUGUCGGCUUCCACUGACACUCUGUGCAGUGUCUCUCUGUCUGUGUGUAACGAAAUACGAAAUAUACGUUGAACUGAGAGUUUCCCCCAACAAAAUGAAAUAAAUAUUUGAGAAUUCAUUAAAUCUGUUUGAAAUUUACGAUUUUUAUAAAAAAAA